AAGGGUAUUGCCUGCCCAGUGAAAUAUUUUUAAACGGCCGCGGUAUUCUAACCGUGCAAAGGUAGCGUAAUCACUUGUCUUCCAAAUAAAGACCAGUAUGAACGGCUAAAUGAGGACAAACCUGUCUCCUACACCCCAUCAGUGAAACUGAUCUUCCAGUCCAAAAGCUGGAAUAUUACCAUAAGACGAGAAGACCCUGUGGAGCUUAAAAUCUACCACUACAAACCCCACACAGCUAGUACAAGAUUUUAAGUUGGGGCGACUUCGGAACAAAACAAAACUUCCGAGCACAGAACCACCAUUUCUUACCGAGGCGCACAGGCCAAAGAAAAUGUUGACCCAGUCAUACUGACCAACGAACCAAGUUACCCCAGGGAUAACAGCGCUAUCUUCUUCAAGAGUCCCUAUCGACAAGAAGGUUUACGACCUCGAUGUUGGAUCAGGGCAUCCCAAUGGUGCAACCGCUAUUAAAGGUUCGUUUGUUCAACGAUUAACAGCC
rnacentral:rRNA from 1 species